AGCCGUUCAUCCUUAAUUGGGUCAGUCUAUUUAUCUAUGUGUGCUCUGUUGGGAGAUCCAGAAGGAUCGAGAGAGAGGAGAGAAUCAGAGUUCUCUCUCUGACCCGAAACGAAACCCAGAAACCGGCAACAGGGUCUGACCGGCGCUACUUCGUCCGGCCACCGAUCGACGACGGACGACCACCAUCUUCUUCGCCUCUUCGUCGCCUAUAGCCUGAUGCUCUUGGAUCGUCCAUGCACCUGACAAGGACGAAGAGCCGACGGUGAAGGUCCAAGCUUUCGCCGGCGACUUCUGCAAGUUUCCGGCCACCAUUCAAGGCGCAUUCGGCGACUUCUCUGGCCUCUCUUGGUUCGCUCUUCAUCUCGUCUCCACAUGUUGAUGCUUGUCGUUCUAAACUGAAGCUAAAUUCCAAAGAACUGCUAGCUGGUGUUGGAUUCCCAGUUCGUCAUCAUCCCUGUUCAAUCGAGCUAGUUCGAAGUAGCUUUUAAAGGACUCCAGUUACCCGAGGAACAGAAGGUUCGCAACUCUCGGAGUACGUGAGAGAAAGCAUCGGAGUCCAGGUAGGGAUUCAGGACUCUCCUCGGUUGGUGAUUUUCUUUUAUAUUUUAUUAAUGUGAUGCAUGAUAAGUGGUAUGGGUUGGUUAUGUAAAAUGCAAUGCAUACUAACCAAUCCGUGAGAAAAUGUGUGAUGGCUUGAGAGCGAAGGGUGGCUCUGACUUCCUUGGGUUCGAUCCCCUUAACCUCCGGAGGGUUAGUUACGCCGGUCGUCCGGGUAUUCCGAUUGUAAGGACGGGCCCGGUACGUGUGUGUAGCUAGGUAGUGGACGCUCUCGCUACGCUUACCUGGUGAUAAAUUAAUUUGAGGUAAGGUCAUGUAGUGGGUGUAUGGGACCGGCCAUCAGGUAAUACUUGGAUUUGGCGCCGUAUUUAUUUAAGCAUCAUGCAUCGGUUUUCAAGUUGAAAAACAUUAAAGUUUGUCGUUCUUUUAAAUAUUUGGUUUAAGUAUGUUUCAUACUGGAGCGCUCCCAAUACUGGUCUAUUGAUUUUCAAACCUAGUCGAGUUAGAGUUCCUGUUGAGCAGCGAGGACGAAAGCUCACCCCUACAACAGUAUGGAUGCAGGUACUGUGCACUGGUGACGGGACAAUAGCGGAAGGAGCUGGGUGUGCGGAAAUAAGUUCGGUAAAUCGUCGUUUGAACCUUAUUCUAAAUUGUAUUUCUCGAACUUCGUAUUCCGAGACUUGUUAUUAGUUAGUCUUGUGUCAAUGUUGGUUGAGUUCUCAUUUCUUUGGAGUUUGUACCUCUUGUGUGAGAACUCAUUUCAAGUUCUAGACGAAUGAAAUAAAUUUUAGCAACUCAAUUAUUUUCACCUCAAAAA